CGGACGGGUGAGUAACACGUGGGUAACCUGCCCGUAAGACUGGGAUAACUCCGGGAAACCGGGGCUAAUACCGGAUAAUAUUUUGAACUGCAUGGUUCGAAAUUGAAAGGCGGCUUCGGCUGUCACUUAUGGAUGGACCCGCGUCGCAUUAGCUAGUUGGUGAGGUAACGGCUCACCAAGGCAACGAUGCGUAGCCGACCUGAGAGGGUGAUCGGCCACACUGGGACUGAGACACGGCCCAG
rnacentral:rRNA from 1 species